rnacentral:rRNA from 1 species
CCUACGGGUGGCAGCAGUGGGGAAUAUUGCGCAAUGGGCGAAAGCCUGACGCAGCGACGCCGCGUGAGGGAUGAAGGUCUUCGGAUCGUAAACCUCUGUCAGCAGGGAAGAACGGUCACUGUGCUAAUCAGCAGUGAAUUGACGGUACCUGCAAAGGAAGCACCGGCUAACUCCGUGCCAGCAGCCGCGGUAAUACGGAGGGUGCGAGCGUUAAUCGGAAUUACUGGGCGUAAAGCGCUCGUAGGCGGUAUGUCAAGUCAAGGGUGAAAUCCCCGCGCUCAAGGUGGGGACGGCCUUUGAAACUGGCAAACUUGAGGUUGUGAGAGGAUGAUGGAAUUCCAGGUGGAGGAGUGAAAUCCGGAGAUAUCUGGAGGAACAUCAGUGGCGAAGGCGACUAUCUGGCACAUAACUGACGCUGAGGAGCGAAAGCGUUGGUAGCAAACAGGAUUAGAUACCCCAGUAGUC